UCUCUUAAUUGGGGACUGGAAUGAAAGAGUAAACCGGGAGAAUUUUUUUAGAAUUAAGAAAAUGAAUUUUACUUUUUAGUAAGAAGGCUAAAAUAAAUAUUUUAGACAAGAAGACCCUAUAAAACUUUAUAUUUUUAAGUUCAAAAAAAGGGAUUAAAAAUAUUACGCUGGGGCGGUGGGAAAAUAGUCUUUUUCUAAGGAAAAUGACAGGCUUGUUAAAAUAUCUAGAAUUUCUAAAGAAGGAAUAAGUUACUUUAGGGAUAACAGCUUAAUUUACUUUGAAAGAUCAAAUUGACAAGUAAGUUUAUGACCUCGAUG
rnacentral:rRNA from 1 species